CCCAUAGAUGUGGGUCUGGGCCCCAUAGAUGUGGGUCAGGAUCCUUCGCUGUGAGUCAAACCCCAUAGAUGUGGGUCUGGGCCCCAUAGAUGGGGGUCAGGACAGCACAUGGGCCACGGGCACCUUGGUGGGGCGCCCCCCCUGUGGCACCACGAGGUCAUCGGGGUCCUCGAGGUCCUCGUCAUCGGGGUCCAGACC